rnacentral:lncRNA from 1 species
AUGGGGGAAAUCUGGAGCCCACAUGUUGGUUGUGGGAGGGGAUGCUGUCUCAUCCUGUCUGUGGGUGAUGGUCCAGCCCGUGGUGCCAGCAGAGGAUCAGGCCGCCAUGGUGUGCAGCCCUGGAUGCCACUUUGUCACCAUUCCUUGGACUGUGGCCACUGCCACGUUGUGCAUCGGGAGUCCCCGUGCUGUUACUUGCAAUGGGACUCUGCUCUUUCGCAAGGAGCCGUAUCCCCGGCCGUGAUGUUCCUUCUCGUAAUCCCCCUGUCCCUUCUCGCCGACCUCCCAGUGAGGUCACGUUUCAGCUCCCAAGCCCUGAUUCCAAUUAAAGCUGUGCGCUGCAGCCUGGCGCGGCCGGCCGGGUACGGCUCUCGCCGCGGGGCUCUCGGGGGAUUGCUGCUCAUGUGGGGUCACGGGAGGCUCCAGCAAAGACACAUUCGUGUUGGAAACCAGCUCCAUGCACCACAGCCCUCAGCACGGGGCUCACUUUUGGAGAGGAGGACCUCUGGGAACCCCAUCAUGAUGUGGGGUUGCACCCCAGAGAAGAGUUGGCUGGGAAGGAGCCCCAGUGCUCAAGGAAGGAGCCCAGCCUCAAGUGCUGAGGGCUCGCUGGCUGGCAGGCAAAGAGGGGCCACACUGCGAGGCAGAGCAGGCACGGCCACUGGCAGCCGGGUGCUAACCAGUGCCUUCUCUCCUCUCCAGGUGGCUAUAGAUUGCCCUUCGUCAAUGGUAAGCUGCCCUGUGAGGAGCACUCAUAGCUCUAUAGUUGUAGCUCCUCGCAGACCCUGUGUCCCCAGCGUGUCCUCAGCUAUGGGGCUCGAGCUGUUUCUGCCACACCCCUGCCCCAGCAUCCAGCUCCUGACCUUGCUGGGCUUUCUCUUUGUGCUUGCAGGUCUCGGACCAGGCGGGAUAGGAGCAGGGGUUCUAGCUGGGAAGGCUGGGUACCCCACUGGGACAGGUGUUGGAGCGCAGGCGGCAGCAGCAAAAGCGGCAGCUAAAUAUGGUGAGCCUCCAUCCGUGGGCACACAGAGGACCCACAGCCCUACUGGGGAGGCUGUGCCCCCUCCCAUUCUUGGGGGUCUGCUACUGCCCCGUCUCUGA